rnacentral:rRNA from 1 species
GACGAACGCUGGCGGCGUGCUUAACACAUGCAAGUCGAACGGAAAGGCCCUGCUUUUGUGGGGUGCUCGAGUGGCGAACGGGUGAGUAACACGUGAGUAACCUGCCCUUGACUUUGGGAUAACUUCAGGAAACUGGGGCUAAUACCGGAUAGGAGCUCCUGCUGCAUGGUGGGGGUUGGAAAGUUUCGGCGGUUGGGGAUGGACUCGCGGCUUAUCAGCUUGUUGGUGGGGUAGUGGCUUACCAAGGCUUUGACGGGUAGCCGGCCUGGGAGGGUGACCGGGCACAUUGGGACUGAGAUACGGGCCAGACUCCUACGGGGGGCAACAGUGGGGAAUAUUGCACAAUGGGCGGAAGCCUGAUGCAGCAACGCCGCGUGCGGGAUGACGGCCUUCGGGUUGUAAACCGCUUUCGCCUGUGACGAAGCGUGAGUGACGGUAAUGGGUAAAGAAGCACCGGCUAACUACGUG